rnacentral:snRNA from 1 species
AGCUUUGUGCAGUGGCAAUAUCGUAGCCAAUGAGGUUUAUCCGAGGCGCGAUUAUUGCUAAUUGAAAUUACCAAGAACACAUACCUCUGGAAUAGCAUUUCUACACAUGUUUUAUAGGCUGUCAAUUAAUUCAUUUCUGCUCGUAUCACUGUGA